rnacentral:rRNA from 1 species
GACAGAGGGGGCCAGCGUUGUCCGGAGUUACUGGGCGUAAAGCGCACGCAGGCGGCGGCUUAAGUGUCGUGUGAAAGCUCCCGGCUCAACCGGGAGAGGCCAUGGCAGACUGGGUCGCUGGAGCGCCGGAGAGGUCUCUCGAAUUGCCGGUGUAGUGGUGAAAUGCGUAGAGAUCGGCAGGAAGACCAAGGGGGAAGCCAGGAGACUGGCCGGCAGCUGACGCUGAGGUGCGACGGCGUGGGGAGCAAACCGG